AAGCGGAGGAAAAGAAACCAACAGGGAUUGCCUUAGUAACGGCGAGUGAAGCGGCAACAGCUCAAAUUUGAAAUCUGGCUCUUUCAGAGUCCGAGUUGUAAUUUGCAGAGGGCGCUUUGGCGUUGGCAGCGGUCCAAGUUCCUUGGAACAGGACGUCACAGAGGGUGAGAAUCCCGUACGUGGUCGCUAGUCAUCGCCGUGUAAAGCCCCUUCGACGAGUCGAGUUGUUUGGGAAUGCAGCUCUAAAUGGGAGGUAAAUUUCUUCUAAAGCUAAAUACUGGCCAGAGACCGAUAGCGCACAAGUAGAGUGAUCGAAAGAUGAAAAGCACUUUGGAAAGAGAGUCAAACAGCACGUGAAAUUGUUGAAAGGGAAGCGCUUGCAGCCAGACUUGCCUGUAGUUGCUCAUCCGGGCUUUUGCCCGGUGCACUCUUCUGCGGGCAGGCCAGCAUCAGUUUGGGCGGUUGGAUAAAGGUCUCUGUCAUGUACCUCUCUUCGGGGAGAACUUAUAGGGGAGACGACAUACAACCAGCCUGGACUGAGGUCCGCGCAUUUGCUAGGAUGCUGGCGUAAUGGCUGUAAGCGGCCCGUCUUGAAACACGGACCAAGGAGUCUAACAUCUAUGCGAGUGUUUGGGUGUCAAGCCCGAGCGCGUAAUGAAAGUGAACGGAGGUGGGMCCCGUAAGGUGCACCAUCGACCSAUCCUGAUGUUCUCGGAUGGAUUUGA
rnacentral:rRNA from 1 species